UGCACUAACAGAAAUUCUUUUUCCCUUUCCCUCAGUAUUCUUGUACCUAAUUUUCCUCAUUCACUCCCAUAAUGAUGAUUUUAGUACCUUAUGCUCUCUAGGGAAGUUGUGCUUUGACCACCCUUUUCUCCUGGCCAACAUUCUCUUUUUCCUUAAUGUUAAUGUUCUUUUCUGGCUUAUUCGCCUCGUGCAGUCUAAGCACAGUCUAAGCAUCAGGAAAACUUUACUUUUAUCCCAUCUGAUGUUGGAUAUGCACUGGUCAGGGAUACCAGUUUUGUCAGUGCGCUGCAAAUCAACUCAUCCAUUAACAGAAGAUUACUAGUUUAAUAUUUGGAGAUCAAGAAUUGUGAUACUUUUGACAUGGGUUUGGAGUAAUAGCUUCUCUGACAGCUACUUAUGCCACGAAAAUUGGCAAUUGGGUCUUAGAGAGGACGGGAGAUUUAAUCAGAUGCAGCGUGCAGUAUGACAAACACUGGUUAUGGAUUGCAGCAUGCAGUAUGACAAACACUGGUUAUGGAUUGCAGCAUGCAGUAUGACAAACACUGAUUGUGGAUUUUUUCUUUGCCAUUUACCUAUCUCAACAGGUCCUUUUGGUGUGCGGUCAAAUCAAAGAGAGAGCAACUUAAUAUAUGCGACUCAGCUGCAAUAGCCGUAUGUUUGGCUGGUGAAAUCUUUGCUUAUCAUGCCAACAAACAACUCCGUGAUUUUGUCAGUAGAAAUAACAAACUAAAAGAACUUGGCAAAGGAGUGGUGCUCAUACUUGAAGGUUUGUGGCAAUACUCGCAACAUCCCAACCAUGUUGGGAGCAGUUGUGGUGGAGACUAUUCAUUUUUGCAGGGAACCUGGGUUAUGGCUAGAGCUGUUAAAUCGAACGAGUAGCUCGAAAACUCGAUUGAGUUCGACUCGAUAAGGCUCGAGCUCGACUCGUUAAUUGUGGUAAACGAAUCGAGAUCGAGCUCGAGACAUACUUGUUUAAUAACAAGCCGAGUAAGCUCGACUUGUUUGUUAUCCGAGUAACUCGAUUAGGUUUGAUAAGGGAAGGUAUAUAUGUCAUUUCACAAUUAAAAAGUAUAAAAAUUGAAAAUUAUAGACUUUUAUUGGGGUCAAUUUGCACGAGCUCGAUAAAUGAGUUGAGCUCGAGCACUCGAGCUUGAGCCACAUGUCCCAUUUGAUGAGCCGGGUCCGAACACAUUUCAAAGCUCAUCCG